rnacentral:lncRNA from 1 species
CCAGAGCAGAACGAGUGGAGAGAGACGGCGCCCAUGAUGGAGAGGAGGAUGGAGUGCGGGGCCGUCAUCAUGAAUGGAUGCAUCUAUGUAACCGGGGGCUACUCCUACUCAAAGGGCACGUAUCUUCAGAGUAUUGAGAAAUACGACCCAGAUCUUAAUAAGUGGGAAAUAGUGGGCAACCUCCCAAGUGCCAUGCGCUCUCAUGGCUGUGUUUGUGUGUAUAAUGUUUGAGUCCACAGGUCGUCACUAGGGGCUUAGUAAAAAGAGUGCAGAGUUUGGGGUGCCUUGAUAUGGGCACAUGCUAAGGCAUUGGAACAACUAAUUCUAGCCCUGCACCAUCCCCAGACCCAGUGACUAAUGGGAAUAACAUAAGAAAAAUGUGAUGCAUGUAUAACGGUUGAGUUAGGGAGAGUUCACGUCUCCUGGAACCCCUGCCUUUUAAAGGCAGAGUGGAGUAUUUGACACUUGAUAAAGGUGAAAGCAUCUGCAGUGAAUCCUUUCUUCCUGGUAGCAUCAACACUGGGUAUAGUCAAAACCAUUCAUCCUGAGUUAUAAAAUGUUCGUUAAAGUCUGUGACAUAGCUAGGCAUGCUGACACAUGCCUUUGAUCCCAGAACUUGGGAGGCAGAGGCAGGCAGAUCUCUGAGUUGAAGGACAUCAAGGCCAGCCUGGUCUACAUGGCAACUUCCAGGCCAGCCAAAGCUACAUUGAGAACCUGUCUUUAAAAGCCUAUGUGUACCUGUGUGUAUUACGGGUCUCUAGCUGGCAGGAGUCUGAAAUGUAAAGAGGGAACCUUCUCUACCUCUACAAAACAACACUUUAAAUGCUUCCCUUUAGAAUUAGUUCGAAUGUGGAUUUACUUACAGCCUCUCCCCUUCGUGAUGUAUAUAAUUUAUUGCUAGCAUUCAUUGUUUACUAUCAGAGCUAUACUAAACACUGUACAAAUGAUAGUUACUGUUCAAAGAGUUGACAACUCAAUUUAAAAAAAAUAGCAACUCUAGAAAUGACUAAGAAAAUAGUCAAAUACUUGCUGAUGCUAAGGGCUGUACUUAAUUUUUAGCUUGGGUAUAAAUUGCUAGUUUAGGUUCUGGCUUAAGCAUGUCGGCAUAUCUUCUUUAUAGUUAGAUAUCUGCAUAUAAAUCUGAAUACCAGGGCCAGAAAGCAUGUAGAACAGCUGCGAGGCAGUAGAAAAUGCAUUGAGGAGAAGAAUUUGCAUUUAUUUGCCAGCUCUGCCACUAACCAGAUUUUGUGACUCGAGCUUCCUCACCCAUGUACACCGGCACUUUGAGACAUAGAUUUCUCUGUAUCAAGAGCCCCUGGACCUUUGAAGCCAGAUGAGGCCUGGGUGGCCUAUGGGCCAGAUGCACUCUUUUCCUCUGUGUGCCUGCAGGGUCACGUCCCAAAUGUGCCAUGACCUGGGGAAAAAGGGCAGCGCUGCUCAAGUAACUCAUCUGAGCGUGAGUGACCGUGAGACUAUCUGUUCCACGUCAGGUUGGUUUUAUUGUUUUGUUUUUGAAGAGAUAAUGCUUAAUUUUUACUUUAAAUAAAAGCUACUUCUGACUG